rnacentral:rRNA from 1 species
GAUGAACGCUAGCGGCAGGCCUAAUACAUGCAAGUCAAGGGGCCCAGCAAUGGGCACCGGCGGACGGGUGCGUAACGCGUACACAACAUACCUUUAAGUGGGGGAUAGCAUUGGGAAACUGAUGGUAAUACCCCAUAAUAAUUCAGGGAGGCAUUUCCUUGGAUUUAAAGCUCCGGCGCUUAGAGAUUGGUGUGCGUCCGAUUAGCUAGUUGGUGGGGUAACGGCUCACCAAGGCGACGAUCGGUAUCUGGUUUGAGAGGACGAUCAGACACACUGGAACUGAGACACGGUCCAGACUCCUACGGGAGGCAGCAGUGGGGAAUUUUCCGCAAUGGGCGAAAGCCUGACGGAGCAAUACCGCGUGAGGGAAGAAUGCCUAUGGGUUGUAAACCUCUUUUUCUAGGAGGAAUCAAAUGACGUGUACCUGAAGAAUAAGACAUCGCGUAACUCCGUG